GGCGGAGCCAGAUGUUUAAGGGGCGGAGCCAGAUGUUGAAGGGGCGGAGCCAGAUGUUAUGAACAUUGGGGGCGGAGCCAGAUGUUAUGAACAUUGGGGGCGGGGCCAGAUGUUAUAAACAUUGGGGGCGGG